UACGUAGGGGGCUAGCGUUGUCCGGAAUCAUUGGGCGUAAAGCGCGUGUAGGCGGUUCGGUAAGUCCGCUGUGAAAGUCGGGGGCUCAACCCUCGAAUGCCGGUGGAUACUGUCGGACUAGAGUACGGAAGAGGCGAGUGGAAUUCCUGGUGUAGCGGUGAAAUGCGUAGAUAUCAGGAGGAAUACCGGUGGCGAAAGCGACUCUCUGGACGGCAACUGACGCUGAGGCACGAAAGCGUGGGGAGCAAACAGG
rnacentral:rRNA from 1 species